rnacentral:rRNA from 1 species
GAUAAACGCUGGCGGCGCACAUAAGACAUGCAAGUCGAACGGACCUAACUCAUUCUUUUAGAUUGGGAGCGGUUAGUGGCGGACUGGUGAGUAACACGUAAGCAACCUGCCUAUUAGAGGGGGAUAACAGUUAGAAAUGGCUGCUAAUACCGCAUAAGCGCACAGGGCCGCAUGGUCUGGUGUGAAAAACUCCGGUGGUAUAAGAUGGACCCGCGUCUGAUUAGCUGGUUGGUGGGGUAACGGCUCACCAAGGCGACGAUGGGGUAGCCGGACUGAGAGGUUGACCGGCCACAUUGGGACUGAGAUACGGCCCAG